rnacentral:rRNA from 1 species
UACAGAGGGGGCAAGCGUUGUUCGGAAUCACUGGGCGUAAAGGGCGUGUAGGCGGCCUUCUAAGUCAGACGUGAAAUCCCUCGGCUUAACCUGGGAACUGCGUCUGAUACUGGAGGGCUUGAGUGCGGGAGAGGGAUGUGGAAUUCCAGGUGUAGCGGUGAAAUGCGUAGAUAUCUGGAGGAACACCGGUGGCGAAGGCGGCGUCCUGGACCGACACUGACGCUGAGGCGCGAAAGCUAGGGUAGCAAACAGG